CAGUGUUUUUUGUACAGAUUGUAUUCUGACAGGCUAGAGAUUGACAGUCUGCUUCCAUAAUGGAGAGCUAUUGGCACUUGGCACAGGAGCUUGGUAUUAAUUGAAUUGCAAGUCCCUGUAGUUCUCUUCUUUUCUGCCACUUAAAGGAUUGCAGAAGAUUGUUUUAAAGAACUACUAUCCGAGCAUUGAUCACUACUCACCAGGUCGACUACUAUCCACUCCCCGGUGCUCCAUAUAUCUCUGAAGGGUCAAAUUACGAUAGGAAUUUGGCCAAAAACAAUCUCACUGGACUGAUACAAUUCUGUAAUGGAUCAGAGGUUUCAGAUAUUUUUACUGCUGUUAUCCAUUCAAUUUUUCAGUAUAGCAUUGCAGGAUGGUGAGUUCACUUGAUCUUUAUGUUCUUCGUAGUUUUUAUGCCUUCUACUGUGGUUAUGCAUGUUUAAUUUGUGUCUUUAGAUUGCUAAGAAAGUUAAGCAAAAUUUUGAAUUGUAUAUACAGAAGGCUGACUAUGCUUCUUUUUAUGUGCUCCAGUUCCAAGCUUUACGUUCAAUGGUGCAUACAAAUCCUGAACUGUCUCAGCCUGUUGUGAAUUCCUCAACAUUGUCUCAGCCGUAUGUUCUCUGCUUAUGAAUAUAAUUCUAAGUGAAGUUGCCAUUUCUAAUCUUUCAUAACAAGCUCCAGUACAUCGAAAUAAACCCUAUUGUCCCCUGAAUUCACAUAUAUCCCCAGUUUACAGCUUAUAGGAUUUUAGUGGCUAUCUUUGUCCUUUUGAUAUUUGCUUCUUUCCUUCCCCUCCGUGCCUUUCAAUUCCCCUCUAUGUUACCCAAGUUAAUAUAUUUAUAACUUGACACCAACUGCAAGUAAGAAUCAAAAUGCUUACAUUUUUUCAUGCUUCAACACUUUCCUGCAAAAAUUUGUAAUAUUCCUC